GCCCAUAGUGAUGUAGUGGUUUGAAUGUUGGACUAUGAUUCUGGAGACCAGGUUCGAAUCCCGGCUCGGCCA